ACACCUGGCCAUCCUGACUCUGGGUACCAACCUCGGAUGACUUCAGUCAUCACAAACAACUGUGACUAGCCUGUGCCCAGACAAGAGACUGCAAAAGAAUACUGUGUUCUGUGGGGCCGAGGGUGACAUUUUUGGAAGAGAAACAAGUUCCUGUUGGAUUUCCCGAAAAGCAAGAGGCCAAGUCACUCAGAAUGAAGACAGUGUCAAAGUGGAGGCAAGGCUUUGGAAACUCUGGGUCUGUCACAGCAACAGAAGCAACAUGGAGCUGAGGUCAUGAAUCCUAUUACUUCGUCCUUCAAUCCUGAAUCCUGGUUGUGCAAACACUGUCUCUCCUCUUUAAAUAAUGCCAAAACAUUACUAAGUGUUCCAUGAAAUAGGCUCUACUAAAGCCAGC